GGCCUAAAGCGUCCGUAGCCGGCCGGACAAGUCCGUUGGGAAAUCGACGCGCUCAACGCGUCGGCGUCCAGCGGAAACUGUCCGGCUUGGGGCCGGAAGACCUGAGGGGUACGUCCGGGGUAGGAGUGAAAUCCUGUAAUCCUGGACGGACCACCAAUGGGGAAACCACCUCAGGAAGACGGACCCGACGGUGAGGGACGAAAGCUAGGGUCUCGAACCGGAUUAGAUACCCGGGUAGUCCUAGCUGUAAACGAUGCUCGCUAGGUGUGCCGUAGGCUACGAGCCUGCGCUGCGCCCUAGGGAAGCCGAGAAGCGAGCCGCCUGGGAAGUACGUCUGCAAGGAUGAAACUUAAAGGAAUUGGCGGGGGAGCACCACAACCGGAGGAGCCUGCGGUUUAAUUGGACUCAACGCCGGACAUCUCACCGGUCCCGACAGUAGUAAUGACGGUCAGGUUGACGACCUUACCCGACGCUACUGAGAGGAGGUGCAUGGCCGCCGUCAGCUCGUACCGUGAGGCGUCCUGUUAAGUCAGGCAACGAGCGAGACCCACACUUCUAGUUGCCAGCAAUACCCUUGUGGUAGUUGGGUACACUAGGAGGACUGCCAUUGCUAAAAUGGAGGAAGGAAUGGGCAACGGUAGGUCAGUAUGCCCCGAAUGGACCGGGCAACACGCGGGCUACAAUGGCUCUGACAGUGGGAUGCAACGCCGAGAGGCGAAGCUAAUCUCCAAACGGAGUCGUAGUUCGGAUUGCGGGCUGAAACCCGCCCGCAUGAAGC
rnacentral:rRNA from 1 species